ACAUGCAAGUCGAGGGGCGAGCACAAGGAGCAAUCUGAGGUGGCGACCGGCGCACGGGUGAGUAACACGUAUGCAACCUGCCUGUAAGCGGGGAAUAACCCGUUGAAAGACGGACUAAUACCGCAUAAUACUAAAUUACUGCAUGGUAAUUUAUUUAAACAUUUAUGGCUUACAGAUGGGCAUGCGCAUGAUUAGCUAGUUGGAGAGGUAACGGCUCCCCAAGGCAACGAUCAUUAGGGGUUCUGAGAGGAAGGUCCCCCACACUGGUACUGAGACACGGACCAGACUCCUACGGGAGGCAGCAGUGAGGAAUAUUGGUCAAUGGACGAGAGUCUGAACCAGCCAAGUCGCGUGCAGGAAGAAUGUCCUUAAUGGAUUGUAAACUGCUUUUGCAGGGGAAUAAAGUGCAUCACGUGUGAUGUUUUGUAUGUACUCUGCGAAUAAGGAUCGGCUAACUCCGUGCCAGCCGCAGC
rnacentral:rRNA from 1 species